UAAAAGAAUAUCAAGACAGGUGAAAUCGAAUUCCCACCCCAUUUCUAAAACCUCCAUGUCGAAUCCCGAGCUGUAAACUCUCUAAACUUUAAGCCUCAACUUGUUUUACACAACUUCACCGUAUCAGUUCUAUUCAGAGACUUUACUGGCAAACAGCUUUUGGCACGUUUUCUACUUCUUCUUCCUCUUUCAAUGCUGAAAUCCCUGCCUCCUUCCUUUCCUCAAACCGAAGUCAUGAUAGUUUGAAGGUCAGGGCUGCUCAGGCUGCUGCUCCGGGGCCAGAGAGUGCCGGGGAGGCUUCAGAAUCAAGUGGAUUGGCUCGAACUUUGCAGCGUUAUUUUUAGCUUUGAUUUGUUUAUUUUGUUUAACUUUUUCACCACUCAAUUUAAGUCUCAUUGAGAAAUUUGAAGCAGGUUAGAGGAAUUCGCUCGAGGUUAUGUGAAAUUUGGACAUAACAGAGAAGACAAUGGAGUAGUGCAUCAUGAAUGGGCCUCCGCAGCUCAGUGAGUUCAUUAGCUUUUGAACAACCAUUCGAUUAGCUUUGGAAAAGGUUGAAGAAGGCAGAGGACCUUGGUUUACAGUUAAACAGAGCCAUAGACCUCGGUGAGAAUAACAGUCAUAUACCAUAGGAUGAGAAAGGAAGAUUUACAAGUAGCAGCAGAUGGAAGGUCAGAAAAAUUGAAGAAGAGCUGUUAGUGGUAGUAGCAAAGAUCAUAUUGUCAGUAUUGGCGCGUGGGUUUCUGCUGGUGUUCUCACAUCUCUAUGAGCAACUGAUAUUGAGGCCUAAAGGGCUAAGAUCAAAGCUCCAAGAGCAAGAAAUUAGAGGGCGCGCGUCCUCCAUUCCUCUUGGGGAAUAUCCUUGCAUAACGCCUUCAAAGCAAGGUCCACUCAACAGCAACAAAGACUACAGAUCUUUAAAAGCCUCAGCAUGGUGAUCGUCAUGUACCUUCUAUUUGUCACCAAUGACCUUCAAAAAUCUUCCCCCACAGAGUGAAGAAGUGAAUAUGAAAUGCAUGAGUUCAAAAAAGUAUAUUCCAGUACUGAAGUAGAUGUUGAGACCUUUCGGCUCUUGCUCAAGCAUGAAAAACUUUCCUGCAUUAGCCCAGAAACCUAUAAUCCGACUGCAUGAUUUUCUGAAUGGAGUUGGAGACAUUCGAGCACGGCACGAAAUUCUAUUGUAGAAUCACAAUCACCCUCAGUGCCCACAACAAUGUAGCUGCUAGCAGCGGUGAAGAGUUCUUGGACAAUUGAAGAAGUUCGUAUAAGCUUGAAGUGUUCUUCAAUUAUUGCGUACUUCAUGGCUAGUAGGAGGCAAUUGCCACUCUACAAAGCAUGAAGGUGACGACAUUUCAGGUCAAUACACAAAUGACCCUUGGGGUUGUACGAAAUGUUAACCGAACAUUUGAAGGAUCUGUUUGAAAAUAAGAACCUCACUAAUUGAUUACUAUUAGUUGUUCGGAAAGAAAUAACUUGAUAUUUGUUAUACAACCUAAAUACAGUUAUACUAUUCGCAACAACCUUCCGUUUUUAUUUAA